rnacentral:rRNA from 1 species
UACGGGGGGGGCAAGCGUUGUCCGGAAUUACUGGGUGUAAAGCGCGUGUAGGCGGGAGGCCAAGUCUGCGGUGAAAUCGCUCGGCUCAACUGGGCGGGGUCCGUGGAAACUGGUCACCUGGAGGACGGUAGAGGCGAGUGGAAUUCCCGGUGUAGUGGUGAAAUGCGUAGAGAUCGGGAAGAACACCGGUGGCGAAGGCGGUCUGCUGGGCAGUUGCUGACACUGAGGCGCGACAGCGUGGGGAGCAAACAGGG